ensembl:piRNA 21ur-5502 ncRNA
UAUCAAAAAUAAUGAUAUUGA